rnacentral:rRNA from 1 species
UACGUAGGGUGCAAGCGUUGUCCGGAAUUAUUGGGCGUAAAGAGCUCGUAGGCGGUCUGUUACGUCGGCUGUGAAAACCUGGGGCUCAACCUCAGGCCUGCAGUCGAUACGGGCGGACUUGAGUACUGCAGGGGAGACUGGAAUUCCUGGUGUAGCGGUGAAAUGCGCAGAUAUCAGGAGGAACACCGGUGGCGAAGGCGGGUCUCUGGGCAGUAACUGACGCUGAGGAGCGAAAGCGUGGGGAGCGAACAGG